AAGCGGUGGAUGAUGUGGAUUAAUUCGAUGCAACGCGAAGAACCUUACCUACCCUUGACAUGUCCGGAACCUUGCCAGAGAUGGCUUGUGCCCGAAAGGGAAGUCGGAACACAGGUGCUGCAUGGCUGUCGUCAGCUCGUGUCGUGAGAUGUUGGGUUAAGUCCCGCAACGAGCGCAACCCUUAUCAUUAGUUGCUGCGCAAGGGCACUCUAAUGAGACUGCCGGUGACAAACCGGAGGGAGGUGGGAUGACGUCAAGUCCUCAUGGCCCUUAUGUCCAGGGCUACACACGUGCUACAAUGGUCGCUACAGAGUGACGCGAAGCCGCGAGGUGGAGCAAAUCGCAGAAAAGCGACCUUAGUUCGGAUUGGAGUCUGAAACCCGACUCCAUGAAGGUGGAAUCGCUAGUAAUCGCGCAUCAGCAUGGCCGCGGUCGAAUACGUUCCCGGGCCUU
rnacentral:rRNA from 1 species